CAGAAGUGUUGAUAUGUGUUUUGAAAGUCCUGGAAUUUCUUUCUAGCCACUGUACUAGGAUUUCAGUAUGACAUUUCACAGCAUUUUUUCAAGGCAUCUGAAAUGAACGGUCCAUGAGCUUGUGGUGGGGGGCUUUCAAGACUUCAAAAUAAGGCUUUAUGAAUAUAUGUGUUUAAGCCACCGACGUAGCUGCAAAUCUGGGGUUGGUGCUAGUGAAAUAUGAAACUGACUUGACUACUGCAACGCACUCCUCAUCUGGAUCCCUGGCAGGAGCCUUCAGUGACUGCAGUACAUCCAGAAUUAUGCUGCCAGGGUCCUGAUGAGGCCACACACUCCAGGUCCCCAAGUCCAAACUCCACACUAUGGGAGAUAGGGC
ensembl:lncRNA